GAAACAUUAUGGAGAGGAUGGUGGAGAUGAUAUAGACUUUGAUCGUCGACAGCUUUGCUCAUCUGAUGAAUCUUCUUCGGGGUGGUACAAAUCUGAGGAAACUUCUCCAAAUCGAUUUUCUAUCUCCGAGUUUGGAGAUGACUGUUUUGCUGUGGGUAGUUGGGAGCAGAAAGAGAUAAUAAGCCGUGAUGGACAAAUGAAGCUGCAGACUCAGAUAUUCUUUGCUUCGAUUGAUCAACGAAGUGAACGAGCUGCUGGUGAAAGCGCUUGUACAGCCUUGGUUGCUGUCAUAGCUGAUUGGUUCCACUGCAAUCCCAAGGAUAUGCCCAUCAAGUCCCAACUUGAUCGUCUUAUCCG
rnacentral:misc_RNA from 1 species